GCCCCGGUGGCUCAGCCUGGUAGAACAGUCAAGAUGCCACAAGCGCCGCCUUGGUAACAGAGUCCCAAACAGGCGAAGGUCGCGGGUUCAAACCCCGCCCGGGGCU
rnacentral:tRNA from 1 species